UGACCGGCUGCUGCUGCCAGAUCCCUUCCCCACAUAGAGCUUCUCUGUAAUUACAGGAAGCAAGGGGUUGCCCGCCAUGUUCACACACCCGGAAGUCAUGAGUACGCUAUUCACAGCGGCGGCCAUCUUGCUCCACCCAGGGCGACAGCGAUCUCAUAUUUGGACACCGCAGACGCCAUAUUCCUACACCGGGAAGUGACAUGGAGAGGCGUGUCCCACGGUUGCGGCAUUCCCAAGAGGCCACGCCCCAUUUUUGGUAGCUUUGCCAUGCAGGAGUCCCUUACCAACAAAGUUGACAGAUUGUCCUGCAUAUCAUGAAAUCAAAAUCAGCUGCAGUUGCUACUUUGCAAAACCAGGCACCACCCAUUUCUCAUGCUUCCAUGUAAGUAAUACAAUCUCAUAC